ensembl:lncRNA
GGGGCGGGGGCGGCUCUGAUUGGCUGGCUACUUUUAAAAUGACAAGCGCUGAGUUUUAACCAACGUCGCCCGGCAAUAUGCGGCGGUCCCGUUAAAUAACGGUGAAGAAACGCUGGCUUCCUGCGCUCUCAGAGGCCCGGUCAUGUCUUCUAUUAGCUGGUUGUUCCUCCGUUUGACAUCACUAAAUAUUCACUUGGCUGUCGCAUAUGACAAACGGCAAAUUGUCACAUUCAAAAAGCAGAAAACAGGAAGUGUUAUUGGUCAAAAACAGUAAAUCCGCUCUCAAGUCACCUCAGCUCAAAUAAUGGAGCUCCGCCUUCUGCUCUCAAUCUAAAUGAUUCGAGUUCUCCCCACUUUCUCUUCAGGAUGCACGGGCAGUGGUGACCUAGAUAGAUUGUGGGGGGGCACGGGCGGGUGUCAGCCGGACGUCCUUGUGCCCCCCCAAUGUGGGGUUAAGCUAGAGCUAGCGUGUGGAGUAGGUCGGCGGAGGGCUCUGUUCUUUUGUGUGUGUGCGUGUGUGCGCGCAUGUCUGUGCCCCCCUCCCUCCUAACUUUGUCGAUCAACCAGAAGCAAGAGACCCCUUCUCAUCUCCUGCUACAGUGGAAAAAAUGUUCCUCUUGAAGAGUAUAUGAAUCGGAUAUUUCCCUUAUAAAUUCCAGAAUAGAAGUCUUUUAAUUAACUUCCCAUUAUUAUAUUGACUUCAAUGAUGAUUGAACAUGUAUCCGACAUGUGGAAUUAAAAGCUGUGUUAGUUACUUGAUCAAAAUACUGAAGAGCCCGAUUAAAAAAAAUCUUAAAUGUAUGGCUGUUAAAUUAUUGAUAAGAAUGCAAUAUUCACUGGGAGAAUGGGACUUUCCAUGUGGAGACGUCAGUGUUGGAAUCGUGACAUUAAUGCCUUAAAUACCUUUAACGGCAGGACGUCGUGCCAUAAAAGAUGUGGAAGUGUGCUCUGAGCAACCCUCUCAUCCGGCAGUCAGGCUUUUAAGAUGAACGUUUUGAACGCCUCCGUCCUCACUUAAGAUGUCUCCAUGGGUUGUG